rnacentral:rRNA from 1 species
CCUACGGGUGGCAGCAGUGGGGAAUAUUGCGCAAUGGGCGAAAGCCUGACGCAGCGACGCCGCGUGAGGGAUGAAGGUCUUCGGAUCGUAAACCUCUGUCAGCAGGGAAGAACGGUCACUUUGCUAAUCAGCAGUGCAUUGACGGUACCUGCAAAGGAAGCACCGGCUAACUCCGUGCCAGCAGCCGCGGUAAUACGGAGGGUGCGAGCGUUAAUCGGAAUUACUGGGCGUAAAGCGCUCGUAGGCGGUAUGUCAAGUCAAGGGUGAAAUCCCCGCGCUCAACGUGGGAACUGCCUUUGAAACGGGCAAACUGGAGUGUGUGAGAGGAUAGUGGAAUUCCAGGUGUAGGAGUGAAAGCCGUAGAUAUCGGGAGGAACAUCAGUGGCGAAGGCGACUAUCUGGAACAUAACUGACGCUGAAGCACGAAAGCGUGGGUAUCGAACAGGAUUAGAUACCCCUGUAGUC